rnacentral:rRNA from 1 species
CCUACGGGGUGCACCAGUAGGGAAUCUUCGGCAAUGGACGAAAGUCUGACCGAGCAACGCCGCGUGAGUGAAGAAGGUUUUCGGAUCGUAAAACUCUGUUGUUAGAGAAGAACAAGUAGGAGAGUAACUGCUCUUACCUUGACGGUAUCUAACCAGAAGGCCACGGCUAACUACGUGCCAGCAGCCGCGGUAAUACGUAGGUGGCAAGCGUUGUCCGGAUUUAUUGGGCGUAAAGCGAGCGCAGGCGGUCUUUUAAGUCUGAUGUGAGAGCCCUCGGCUCAACCGAGGAAGGUCAUUGGAAACUGGAGGACUUGAGUGCAGAAGAGGAGAGUGGAAUUCCAUGUGUAGCGGUGAAAUGCGUAGAUAUAUGGAGGAUCACCAGUGGCGAAGGCGGCCUGCUGGACAUUAACUGACGCUGAGGAGCGAAAGCGUGGGGAGCAAACAGGAUUAGAUACCCGCGUAGUC